GACGAACGCUGGCGGCGUGCUUAACACAUGCAAGUCGAACGGAAAGGCCCUGCUUUUGUGGGGUGCUCGAGUGGCGAACGGGUGAGUAACACGUGAGUAACCUGCCCUUGACUUUGGGAUAACUUCAGGAAACUGGGGCUAAUACCGGAUAGGAGCUCCUGCUGCAUGGUGGGGGUUGGAAAGUUUCGGCGGUUGGGGAUGGACUCGCGGCUUAUCAGCUUGUUGGUGGGGUAGUGGCUUACCAAGGCUUUGACGGGUAGCCGGCCUGAGAGGGUGACCGGCCCCACUGGGACGGAGAUAGGGCCCAGACUCAGACCGGAGGCAGCGAUCGGCAAGACAGCACGAUGGUAGGGAGCCUAAUGCAGCAACGCAGCACGUGGGAUGACGGUGUUCCGGUUGAAGACCGCGAACACCGGUAGUGAGGCGUGUGGGACCGGAAUGGGUGAAGGAGGACGCGCUAGCCACAUC
rnacentral:rRNA from 1 species